CCUACGGGUGGCUGCAGUGAGGAAUAUUCGUCAAUGGACGAGAGUCUGAACCAGCCAAGUAGCGUGAAGGAUGACUGCCCUAUGGGUUGUAAACUUCUUUUAUAUGGGAAUAAAACGUUCCACGUGUGGGAUUUUGUAUGUACCAUAUGAAUAAGGAUCGGCUAACUCCGUGCCAGCAGCCGCGGUAAUACGGAGGAUCCGAGCGUUAUCCGGAUUUAUUGGGUUUAAAGGGAGCGUAGGUGGAUGGUUAAGUCAGUUGUGAAAGUUUGCGGCUCAACCGUAAAAUUGCAGUUGAAACUGGCAGUCUUGAGUACAGUAGAGGUGGGCGGAAUUCGUUGUGUAGCGGUGAAAUGCUUAGAUAUAACGAAGAACUCCGAUUGCGAAGGCAGUUCACUGGACUGCAACUGACACUGAGGCUCGAAAGUGUGGGUAUCAAACAGGAUUAGAUACCCCUGUAGUC
rnacentral:rRNA from 1 species